CCUACGGGAGGCAGCAGUGAGGAAUAUUGGUCAAUGGACGAGAGUCUGAACCAGCCAAGUAGCGUGAAGGAUGACUGCCCUAUGGGUUGUAAACUUCUUUUAUAAAGGAAUAAAACGAGGCACGUGUGCCUUUUUGCAUGUACUUUAUGAAUAAGGAUCGGCUAACUCCGUGCCAGCAGCCGCGGUAAUACGGAGGAUCCGAGCGUUAUCCGGAUUUAUUGGGUUUAAAGGGUGCGUAGAUGGGUUGUUAAGUCAGUUGUGAAAGUUUGGGGCUCAACCGUAAAAGUGCAAUUGAUACUGGCAGACUUGAGUACAGUUGAGGUAGGCGGAAUGCGUGGUGUAGCGGUGAAAUGCUUAGAUAUCACGCAGAACCCCGAUUGCGAAGGCAGCUUACUAAACUGUGACUGACAUUGAGGCUCGAAAGUGUGGGUAUCAAACAGGAUUAGAUACCCUUGUAGUC
rnacentral:rRNA from 1 species